GGGGUAGUAAACAGAUAUGGGCUCGAAACUUAAAGAAUUUGGCGGUAUCUAAGUCUAGUUAGAGGAACCUGUGCUGUAAACGAUAAACCACGAAUAUCUUACUUUACGUUGAAAUUUCAGUACGUAUACCGCCAUUAUUAGAUAAUCUUUGAAGGGGUUUGUCGGGAUAAAUUGAGAAUUUUGGAUAUUAGGUCAAGGUGCGGCUAAUAGUAAAGUUGACAUGGGUUACAUUGAGAUCAGUUGGUGCGGAUAAGCUUAGUAAAGUGAGUUUAGUAAGGUGGAUUUAAUAGU
rnacentral:rRNA from 1 species